GCCGAAUAAGAAAGAAUAAAUGGCUUAUGUAUCUUGCCACUUUGACCAGUUAGUCUAAAGUAAUUCACAGAGUUUGGAUGGCUCACUUCAGGAUGAAGCGCUCAGGGAAGCGGGGAACGCACAGAGCAGGGAAAGGGAAAGGGCGCUAAGGAACGUGCCGUCAGGGAAAAGGAAACGCUCAGGAUGAGAGCGAAUAGCAAAGGGAAAAACCGGGACGUUGACUGCAAAACGGAUUUAAAGGAUGGUUAUCCUUCUACGGAAGGUACGAAAAAAGGCGACAGGGUGACCUGCCGCCUUUUUUCUUU
rnacentral:sRNA from 15 species